rnacentral:rRNA from 1 species
GAGUUUGAUCCUGGCUCAGAACGAACGCUGGCGGCAGGCUUAACACAUGCAAGUCGAACGCCCCUUUCGGGGGGAGUGGCAGACGGGUGAGUAACGCGUGGGAACGUGCCCUUCAGUUCGGAAUAACCCAGGGAAACUUGGGCUAAUACCGGAUACGUGCGAGAGCAGAAAGAUUUAUCGCUGAAGGAUCGGCCCGCGUCUGAUUAGCUAGUUGGUGAGGUAAUGGCUCACCAAGGCGACGAUCAGUAGCUGGUCUGAGAGGAUGAUCAGCCACAUUGGGACUGAGACACGGCCCAAACUCCUACGGGAGGCAGCAGUGGGGAAUAUUGGACAAUGGGCGCAAGCCUGAUCCAGCCAUGCCGCGUGAGUGAUGAAGGCCUUAGGGUUGUAAAGCUCUUUCGUCCGGGACGAUAAUGACGGUACCGGAAGAAGAAGCCCCGGCUAACUUCGUGCCAGCCGCCGCAGUAAC